UACGUAGGGUCCGAGCGUUGUCCGGAAUUAUUGGGCGUAAAGAGCUCGUAGGCGGUUUGUCGCGUCUGCUGUGAAAUCCCGAGGCUCAACCUCGGGUCUGCAGUGGGUACGGGCAGACUGGAGUGCGGUAGGGGAGAAUGGAAUUCCUGGUGUAGCGGUGGAAUGCGCAGAUAUCAGGAGGAACACCGAUGGCGAAGGCAGUUCUCUGGGCCGUAACUGACGCUGAGGAGCGAAAGCGUGGGGAGUGAACAGG
rnacentral:rRNA from 1 species